UUUGUGAAGAUCUAUUUUAUACACUGUAAUAUAAAAAUACUCAUAAAGGAAACAUAUGUGACAAGGCUUUGCAAGUAUUUUCCCUUGUGGUUUUGAAUAUCGAAUAGUACACCAGAAAUGAGGUCAACAUUCCAAAAACAAACACAGAAUCCUUGUAGGAGGGGCCAACACCCCAAAUCCACAACUGCUCCACCUAUUUCUAUUAGAUAAACUAUGCACAAAUGAGGAAAUUGUUUAAAAAGGUGUGCUAUGAAAAGCUAAAAAGCCAACCUUUAACAGAGAGCACAGAAAAGGCUGUAAAGGAACUACCAUAGUGACUGAUUGCAAAUGAAAACAGAAUUAUCAUGACUAAACAGCAGAGUAAAAAAGCUAUUAACAGCAAGUCAGUGAUUCAGAAAUCCUGAAGAUAGAGUUAAAUAAGCAGAAAAGUGGCCAGUCUGGUAGGGCCUAUAUAAAAGCACAAAAUGAGCUAGAAAAGAAAUUGUGUAGCAGCUUGCAGAGGGUAUAAAUAUUAAUGGACUGUCUUUCAGAACAUCAAAAGCAGAAAUUCUGUUGAAGAAUCUAAUAAGAUUUAGAAAGGAUGUGCAGAAACAAUAAUAUGAGAGCAGAAAACAUGCUUCUCUUUUGACAGCAGUGUAGUAGAGCUUUCCACAACAGCAGAAAACCAGUCCUCUGCUUAUUUGUCUUGAACCAGUGUCUGAAUAAGAUACUGAAAAAAAGGCAAAUGAAAAAGGAGGAUUCCUAUAAACCACAGAAUAGGCAAAAGAUCAAAUAGCUCAUUGACACUGAAGUGUCACCUUACUCCAUUACCAGACAACAUUCUCUAAUCUCCAAGGAAUGAGGUGCUAGAGUGACUGCUCCUCCUGCUCUCCUCACUGCAGGUGUGUGUGUGUGUCCCUGCUCAGCCCAGGGAGCACAGCACUGCAGAGCACUGUCACCCCCAGGAGCAGGCAUUGCUCACUGCUCUCCUCACUGCAGGUGUGUGUGUGUGUCCCUGCUCAGCCCAGGGAGCACAGCACUACAGAGCACUGUCACCCCCAGGAGCAGGCACUGCUCACUGCUCUCCUCACUGCAGGUGUGUGUGUGUGUGUCCCUGCUCAGCCCAGGGAGCACAGCACUGCAGAGCACUGUCACCCCCAGGAGCAGGCACUGCUCACUGCUCUCCUCACUCUAGGUGUGUGUGUGUGUCCCUGCUCAGCCCAGGGAGCACAGCACUACAGAGCACUGUCACCCCCAGGAGCAGGCACUGCUCACUGCUCUCCUCACUGCAGGUGUGUGUGUGUGUGUCCCUGCUCAGCCCAGGGAGCACAGCACUGCAGAGCACUGUCACCCCCAGGAGCAGGCAUUGCUCACUGCUCUCCUCACUGCAGGUGUGUGUGUGUGUCACUGCUCAGCCCAGGGAGCACAGCACUGCAGAGCACUGUCACCCCCAGGAGCAGGCACUGCUCACUGCUCUCCUCACUGCAGGUGUGUGUGUGUGUCACUGUGUCACUGUGUGUGUCACUGUGUGUGUCACUGCUCAGCCCAGAGCAGCUGGAAGCACCACCAAUCCCUCACCAAGGUCUCCUAACAAACCAGCAGUGAAGCAUCAUCCAAUGAAAUGUAAAUAUAAGACAAAGAAAAGAGGGACAAAAAUGCUUCAUUUUCACAGUGAAGACAAUCUGUAACUUUGGAUUUUGUGCUUCAAACACAUUCAUAACUUACAUGCAGAAGAGGCUAAAACAAGAUGAUGGCUGACGGCCUUAAUUUAGGGCAGUAAAAUCAACUGCAGCAGAACUGCAUAAUCAGUGAGGAAACCAGGACUUGGUGAUAGCAACAGAUAAUACAAGGACAGUUCUGAGCUCUAUGUGACAAGAUUAGCACAGGUAUCAGUUAUUAGGAAGGAAACCAAGACUUUCUCAGGAGAAACACAGGGAAAUUUACAAUGAAAAGAGGAAGGACAAGGACAAAUCAAAUGUCCAGAGCAAUUUCCAAUAAUUGACACCUAUAUUUGCCUCUUAUCCAGAUCCAGCAGUUCUGCUGGGAAAGGUAUGACAUAUCUGUACAACAAUAAAUAGCAUAAAGACAACUGAUACCAGGCCAUAAUUAGUUCUCCAUUCUACUUUCAUUACCCUGAAAUGUGCAAAUCCCUAAUUCAGACUAAAAAUCUUCAGAAACAGUAAUAUUGUCAGUUCUCUUGGAACUUAUAAGAUAAUUUUUAAUAAAACUAGUCACAUUUUGUCAUUUUGCAGCCUACAGCAUAAAUGAGAAAAAUAUGGUU